rnacentral:rRNA from 1 species
GGGUGGUAAAUUUCAUCUAAAGCUAAAUAUUGGCCAGAGACCGAUAGCGCACAAGUAGAGUGAUCGAAAGAUGAAAAGCACUUUGAAAAGAGAGUUAAACAGUAUGUGAAAUUGUUGAAAGGGAAGCGCUUACAACCAGACUUGAGCGCGGCGGUUCCCCCUUGCUUCUGCUUGGGUUACUCCGCCGUGUCCAGGCCAACAUCGGUUCUGGGGGUCGGUCAAAGGCCCUGGGAAUGUAUCUACCUACGGGUAGACUUAUAGACCAGGGUGUCAUGCGGCCUCCCGGGACCGAGGAACGCGCUCCGGCUCGGAUGUUGGCGUAAUGGUUGUCAGCGACCCGUCUUGAAACACGGAC